rnacentral:lncRNA from 1 species
GUUGCCUUUGGAUCAAGAUGUUAGGACUCUCAGCCCCAGCACCAUGUCUACCUGCAUGCCACCAUGCGUCCUGCCAUGACAAUAAUGACUAAACUCUGAACUUGUUCCAGGAGUCCCAGAACAGUGACUGAUGACACGGGCAUCUAGCAACUGUCAAAUCCACCGUUGGAAUGGAUGUCUACUUCUCUGCUAAUAUGAUUCCUUGGUGGCUGAGUUUCCUGGCUUUCAUCACUGUCCAGGAGAUCCAACACCUACCUCUUGUCCCUGGUGGACACCAGACACACGAACUACAUGUGUGCAUGCAGGAAAAGCACUCACACGCCUCAAGUCUUUCUGCAAACAGAAAAGGCUUCACACUAUUAAGUAAGUGUAUGACUGAAAGACCGCACAUAUGUUAAAAAACACUCAAAAUGCUGGGCAUCGUUCAGGCUCCUUGGGUUAGCUGGGUUCACCCACUGCCAGCGGCUGGAAAUGCCCUCUGACACAGACAUAUGACAAUCAAAAUUGAAUCAGUACUUAGAUGCCCGUACUCUGUUUGAUGUUAGUGAGGGAAUGUAGAAUUUUUAAUGAUUUAGUAUCUUAAAAAUAAAUGUCCUAGGGGCUGUCUUGAUUUGAUGCACUUGUGAUUAGAUGUAUAAAACGAAAGAGUCCAUUUAUCUUAGCAAUUAUCCAGUCAUCUACUUUAUAAGUUCAAUUUUUAACAAGUAUUUAGGCUUCACGGUGCUGGCGCACACCUUUAAUCCCAGCCCUUAGGAGGCAGAGGCAGGUGGAUCUCUGAUUUGAGAACAGUCUGAUCUACAAAUCAAGUUCCAGGAUAUCCAGGUGCUACACAGAGAAAUCCUGUCUCAAAAAACAAAAACAAAAAACAAACAACAACAAAAUUAAAACAAAACAACAAAAACAAGCAUUUAACAACAGUUUUAUUUAAAUUUUCUUUCUAGUUUGGGAAAACAUAACACUGGAGUAGAACCCCAAAUUAGGAGAUAUGUGUGGCCUCAUCUAUUCCAGGCUGGCCUUAAACUCACGAUAUAGCUGAGUUUGAUCUUGGAUUCCUGUUCUUGCUGCUCCCACUUCUCAAGUGUUAGAAUUAUAGACAAGUCAAACCACACUUGCACUCAAAUUAAUUUUUUUUUUUUUGAGACAGGGUUUCUCUGUGUAAGCCUGGCUGUCCUGGAACUCACUCUGGAGACCAGACUGGCCUCAGACUCACAGAGAUCUGCCUGCCUCUGCCUAUAGAGUGCUGGGAUUAAAGGUGUGAACCACCAC